CCGAGUCAGGGUCUCUCAGGCCCGAAACUCCCACCCUGUGUCUAUCUACCACGUUGCUUUGGCGGGCCCGUCUUCAUUGGCCGCCGGGGGUCGUUUGACCCCUGGCCCGCGCCCGUCAGUAGCCCCCCCAAAUCCUCCGUACCAGUGAUGUCUGAGUGUAAAUAUAAUCGUUA
rnacentral:misc_RNA from 1 species